UACGUAGGGGGCGAGCGUUGUCCGGAUUUAUUGGGCGUAAAGAGCUCGUAGGCGGUUCGAUAAGUCAGGCGUAAAAACUCCAGGCUCAACUUGGAGAGGCCACCUGAUACUGUCGUGACUAGAGUCCGGUAGAGGAGCACGGAAUUCCUGGUGUAGCGGUGAAAUGCGCAGAUAUCAGGAGGAACACCAGCGGCGAAGGCGGUGCUCUGGGCCGGAACUGACGCUGAGGAGCGAAAGCGUGGGGAGCGAACAGG
rnacentral:rRNA from 1 species